rnacentral:lncRNA from 1 species
GGAUUGCGUGCUGCGCUGGUCUGGCCAACUGAAAAGAACUCUGGUGUGCUGUAAAUGCCGACUGCACAAUAUGUGACUGGCCGGCGGCCGCUUUGAAGGUAAGAUUGUGUUCCCAUUAAUCUAUUUAUUGUACUAUUUGUUUUCCAGUGACACUGCGAGCCAACAA